GGCUCAGGAUGAACGCUAGCGGCAGGCUUAACACAUGCAAGUCGAGGGGCAGCGUGAGGGUUAGCAAUAACCCUUGACGGCGACCGGCGCAAGGGUGCGUAACGCGUGAGCAACUUGCCCUUAUCAGGGGGAUAACCGGUGGAAACGCCGACUAAUACCCCAUGGCAUCACAAUGAGGCAUCUUUUUGUGAUUAAAGAAUUUCGGAUAAGGAUAGGCUCGCGUGACAUUAGCUAGACGGCGGGGUAACGGCCCACCGUGGCGACGAUGUCUAGGGGUUCUGAGAGGAAGGUCCCCCACACUGGAACUGAGACACGGUCCAGACUCCUACGGGAGGCAGCAGUGAGGAAUAUUGGUCAAUGGUCUGACGACUGAACCAGCCAUGCCGCGUGAAGGUCACGGCCCUAUGGGUCUUAAACUUCUUUUGCGAGGGAGCAAUAAGGUCUACGUGUAGUCCGAUGAGAGUACCUCGCGAAUAAGCAUCGGCUAACUCCGUG
rnacentral:rRNA from 1 species